rnacentral:rRNA from 1 species
UUAAGCGACUAAGCGUACACGGUGGAUGCCCUGGCAGUCAGAGGCGAUGAAGGACGUGCUAAUCUGCGAUAAGCGUCGGUAAGGUGAUAUGAACCGUUAUAACCGGCGAUUUCCGAAUGGGGAAACCCAGUGUGUUUCGACACACUAUCAUUAACUGAAUCCAUAGGUUAAUGAGGCGAACCGGGGGAACUGAAACAUCUAAGUACCCCGAGGAAAAGAAAUCAACCGAGAUUCCCCCAGUAGCGGCGAGCGAACGGGGAGGAGCCCAGAGCCUGAAUCAGUGUGUGUGUUAGUGGAAGCGUCUGGAAAGGCGCGCGAUACAGGGUGACAGCCCCGUACACAAAAAUGCACAUAUUGUGAGCUCGAUGAGUAGGGCGGGACACGUGGUAUCCUGUCUGAAUAUGGGGGGACCAUCCUCCAAGGCUAAAUACUCCUGACUGACCGAUAGUGAACCAGUACCGUGAGGGAAAGGCGAAAAGAACCCCGGCGAGGGGAGUGAAAAAGAACCUGAAACCGUGUACGUACAAGCAGUGGGAGCACGCUUCGGCGUGUGACUGCGUACCUUUUGUAUAAUGGGUCAGCGACUUAUAUUCUGUAGCAAGGUUAACCGAAUAGGGGAGCCGAAGGGAAACCGAGUCUUAACUGGGCGUUAAGUUGCAGGGUAUAGACCCGAAACCCGGUGAUCUAGCCAUGGGCAGGUUGAAGGUUGGGUAACACUAACUGGAGGACCGAACCGACUAAUGUUGAAAAAUUAGCGGAUGACUUGUGGCUGGGGGUGAAAGGCCAAUCAAACCGGGAGAUAGCUGGUUCUCCCCGAAAGCUAUUUAGGUAGCGCCUCGUGAAUUCAUCUCCGGGGGUAGAGCACUGUUUCGGCAAGGGGGUCAUCCCGACUUACCAACCCGAUGCAAACUGCGAAUACCGGAGAAUGUUAUCACGGGAGACACACGGCGGGUGCUAACGUCCGUCGUGAAGAGGGAAACAACCCAGACCGCCAGCUAAGGUCCCAAAGUCAUGGUUAAGUGGGAAACGAUGUGGGAAGGCCCAGACAGCCAGGAUGUUGGCUUAGAAGCAGCCAUCAUUUAAAGAAAGCGUAAUAGCUCACUGGUCGAGUCGGCCUGCGCGGAAGAUGUAACGGGGCUAAACCAUGCACCGAAGCUGCGGCAGCGACGCUUAUGCGUUGUUGGGUAGGGGAGCGUUCUGUAAGCCUGUGAAGGUGUGCUGUGAGGCAUGCUGGAGGUAUCAGAAGUGCGAAUGCUGACAUAAGUAACGAUAAAGCGGGUGAAAAGCCCGCUCGCCGGAAGACCAAGGGUUCCUGUCCAACGUUAAUCGGGGCAGGGUGAGUCGACCCCUAAGGCGAGGCCGAAAGGCGUAGUCGAUGGGAAACAGGUUAAUAUUCCUGUACUUGGUGUUACUGCGAAGGGGGGACGGAGAAGGCUAUGUUGACCGGGCGACGGUUGUCCCGGUUUAAGCGUGUAGGCUGGUUUUCCAGGCAAAUCCGGAAAAUCAAGGCUGAGGCGUGAUGACGAGGCACUACGGUGCUGAAGCAACAAAUGCCCUGCUUCCAGGAAAAGCCUCUAAGCAUCAGGUAACAUCAAAUCGUACCCCAAACCGACACAGGUGGUCAGGUAGAGAAUACCAAGGCGCUUGAGAGAACUCGGGUGAAGGAACUAGGCAAAAUGGUGCCGUAACUUCGGGAGAAGGCACGCUGAUAUGUAGGUGAAGCGACUUGCUCGUGGAGCUGAAAUCAGUCGAAGAUACCAGCUGGCUGCAACUGUUUAUUAAAAACACAGCACUGUGCAAACACGAAAGUGGACGUAUACGGUGUGACGCCUGCCCGGUGCCGGAAGGUUAAUUGAUGGGGUCAGCGCAAGCGAAGCUCUUGAUCGAAGCCCCGGUAAACGGCGGCCGUAACUAUAACGGUCCUAAGGUAGCGAAAUUCCUUGUCGGGUAAGUUCCGACCUGCACGAAUGGCGUAAUGAUGGCCAGGCUGUCUCCACCCGAGACUCAGUGAAAUUGAACUCGCUGUGAAGAUGCAGUGUACCCGCGGCAAGACGGAAAGACCCCGUGAACCUUUACUAUAGCUUGACACUGAACAUUGAGCCUUGAUGUGUAGGAUAGGUGGGAGGCUUUGAAGUGUGGACGCCAGUCUGCAUGGAGCCGACCUUGAAAUACCACCCUUUAAUGUUUGAUGUUCUAACGUUGACCCGUAAUCCGGGUUGCGGACAGUGUCUGGUGGGUAGUUUGACUGGGGCGGUCUCCUCCUAAAGAGUAACGGAGGAGCACGAAGGUUGGCUAAUCCUGGUCGGACAUCAGGAGGUUAGUGCAAUGGCAUAAGCCAGCUUGACUGCGAGCGUGACGGCGCGAGCAGGUGCGAAAGCAGGUCAUAGUGAUCCGGUGGUUCUGAAUGGAAGGGCCAUCGCUCAACGGAUAAAAGGUACUCCGGGGAUAACAGGCUGAUACCGCCCAAGAGUUCAUAUCGACGGCGGUGUUUGGCACCUCGAUGUCGGCUCAUCACAUCCUGGGGCUGAAGUAGGUCCCAAGGGUAUGGCUGUUCGCCAUUUAAAGUGGUACGCGAGCUGGGUUUAGAACGUCGUGAGACAGUUCGGUCCCUAUCUGCCGUGGGCGCUGGAGAACUGAGGGGGGCUGCUCCUAGUACGAGAGGACCGGAGUGGACGCAUCACUGGUGUUCGGGUUGUCAUGCCAAUGGCACUGCCCGGUAGCUAAAUGCGGAAGAGAUAAGUGCUGAAAGCAUCUAAGCACGAAACUUGCCCCGAGAUGAGUUCUCCCUGACCCUUUAAGGGUCCUGAAGGAACGUUGAAGACGACGACGUUGAUAGGCCGGGUGUGUAAGCGCAGCGAUGCGUUGAGCUAACCGGUACUAAUGAACCGUGAGGCUUAACCUU